UCGGCUCACAACCGGAGAAACCGCGGUUCAGCCGAUCUCCUGAAUGAUUCACACGGGAAGAAACCAGAAGGUGGAUGAUUCCGACAGUAAGGAUCAGCCGUAGGCAUCGUUCCGGCGACGGCAGCUGAAUUAAGUUACCGUCCCUCGGCUCGAUAAGGACUUGCUCUGCCGCAAUUUGCAUGCAGAUCACAGAGGACGCGCUCAUCGCGGCGUGUGGCCUCGGCUUCUGCUCAAUGUGCAUCGUCAUUCACCCGCCUCAACGUGAGCGAUUGCGCUUCCUGUGAACGUUCUCCUCUCACCGUCAACCAGCUCUUCUCCAAUUCCUCCUCGACUAGUUGUUGCACCAUUUGGCAAACCACCCACAUUAGCAGGAAGACAGGGAUACCCAGGCACUCGUGGAGAAGGUUGCAGUGAAGGUCUAGAGCACUCCAAUCUGACUGCUAUUCGCAUGGUGCAGAUGACUAAGGUCAUUGCUGAACUUGGGCAGGGAGAUUUUUUCACUUGGCCAAUACUGUGUCAAGAUCUCCACCUCAACUCUCAACUGCUCAGUGCUAUGUUAUCACUUUCAGGCAUCAGGCAUCUGGGCAUGAAUGUGGUAAGUGAGACGAAAGUUAAUUAUUAAUUAUGAAAUAAAUUUUUAGACUGUUAUAGUAAAAAAUUUUCAAGCUCAAGCUUAACGCUAGAAAUGGUGAAUAUUAGAGGUUAAUUUGUCAUUCACUCUUGAAGGUUUCUAGGAACAAUAGGAGCAUAAAGUGCUUCAGCUUUCAUAUAAGCUAGCGUUUAGUAGCACAUCUUUUGUGUUUGAGGUUGGUCGUAAUGACAAGCCAUUAAUAAGACAAAACCAAAUUACAUAAAAAUAGGCAAAUUUUGGACCUGAGAUUAGACUGGCUUGUCUUUUGGUUUUACACAGUCACAACUCUUGGAAUAAGUACAGUAUACAACUUCGAAAAUUGUGAAGCUUGUGGUCCUUUCUGAACCCCACCCAACCAUGCACCAAGAGAACGAUGAAGAACUAAAUUCAAAGUUUUGAUCAAUCAUAAUUCUAAAUUGCAUAAAAAAUGGGGACCAUAUGGAACUUAGGAUUUAAGAAAUCAAAUAUUAUAGAAAUUAUUAAGAUACAUCUUUGGUUCGUUUUAUUAUAUAUAUAUUUUCUUAAAAAGCUCCUGCAACAAGUAAACUGCAAAUUUAAUCACAUAGUUAGUUGGAAAAGAAAUUUGAAAUAGAAGAGAUGAAAACAUUUGAGUGAUAAAAACAUCAAAAUGAAAAAUCAAGGAAAAGGAUUUGUCCGUAUUACUAUAAUAAUAUUACUUUUCGACUAGGCACAUAAUAGACAACAUAUACAAGGAUUAUCUCACACCACCCACGAUAUAUUGAGUUUCUUCUUUACAUUGAAACUCCUCACUCGCAAAAAUCUAAAUUCAUUUGGUUGAUUGAUAGAAACAAAGUAGGCAUCUUUCUAUCUAAUAAGAAGUUGAUCAUUUAGUUUCAUACAUCUUUAAUGUUGUAUACAUCAAGUUGAGAAACAAGAAACAAAUAUCAUACAAGAAGUAUACAUUCAAGGAAACUUGAAAAACCAAGAACCUAACUCUCAUACAUAAACCUAACAUUAGGUUAUUUGAAGAGUAACAAAAGACGAGAACUUUUACAUACUAAUUUGAUGACAUACAUUGUGAUUGUGAUUAUAAUGUUACUAAAAAAUUUAAAUAUUGGCCAAGGACUUGCAAGGUCAAGAAAACUCAAAUGGCCAUCGUAGUAUUAAAAAAAAAACUAUAAAAAUAUAAAAAGAAUAAGCUCAAGAGGGAUAGCGCCAAGACUUGUCUCACAUCUCGUGUGGCUUCCUGGAUCUGUAACCUUGAUCUGGAUGAGCCAUGAGCAAGAGAGCUGGUGUUCCAUCGGCCAAAUGAAGCAUGGUUAGAGGAUGAUGUGCGUGUGAGAGCCAAGUUUUGGAGGAAAUGGCUCCUAGGGUUGACAGAGCUUGUUGAAACAGUGCCAUGAGAUAAUACAUGAGGAAUGGCGCGCAGCUAUUUAUACUGCAAGUUUCUGAGGGUAUAAUUGACUGCCUCAUAAAAGAUAAGGUUGAUGUGUCAUUUUCUACUGGUAAUGCAGAGGGACAUGAUGGAUAAUGAAAGUUUGUUUUCUUGGUUGGAGAUGUCAGCCUCCAUUUCCCAAUUUGCCAGGUUUUUUCUUUUUCAAACCAGCUUCUUGUAGGUUGCAUGAAUUACUGUAAUAUGCAUGUCAAAUGAACCUAACACUUUCAAGCCAAAAAAACAAAAACAAAAAACCGAACACUUCAUAUUACAUCUUUUAUCAAAUUGUUAUGAAAUAUUCCCUGUUGCUGAAAGGGAAAUUUAUGAGC